AUGAUUUGCUUCAAUAUACUGGGUUUACAAUUGGAGAAGGCCUGCUUUCCAAGAAAAAAAUUGUCUCAAUCCUAUACCAUCAUAACUGACAGCUCCACAACAGGGGUAGAGCCCAUUCAUUCCAAGGAGGACUCAAAUGCUAGUGAUCUUCAACCUCUCUUCCACUUGUGAGGAUGAAAGCUGGAGUCU
rnacentral:lncRNA from 1 species